rnacentral:rRNA from 1 species
AAGUGCACGUGGUGGAUGCCUUGGCGAUUACAGGCGAUGAAGGACGUGCAAGCCUGCGAAAAGCUGCGGGGAGCUGGCAAUGAAGCUUUGAUCCGCAGAUGUCCGAAUGGGGAAACCCCCUCAGCAAUGAGGAUCCCUGACUGAAUACAU